CGUAGGGUGCGAGCGUUAAUCGGAAUUACUGGGCGUAAAGUGUGCGCAGGUGGCUGAGCAAGUCGAGUGUGAAAUCCCCGGGCUUAACUUGGGAAUUGCGCUCGAAAUUACUUGGCUCGAGUGUGGCAGAGGAAGGUGGAAUUCCAGGUGUAGCGGUGAAAUGCGUAGAGAUCUGGAGGAACACCGAUGGCGAAGGCAGCCUUCUGGGCCAACACUGACGCUCAUGCACGAAAGCGUGGGGAGCAAACAGGAUUGGAUACCCUGGUAGUCCACGCCCUAAACGAUGAUGACUAGUUGUUGGGGGAGUUAAAUCCCUUAGUAACGCAGCUAACGCGUGAAGUCAUCCGCCUGGGGAGUACGGUCGCAAGAUUA
rnacentral:rRNA from 1 species